UACGUAGGUGGCAAGCGUUGUCCGGAUUUACUGGGCGUAAAGCGCGCGCAGGCGGCCUGUUAAGUCUGCUGUAAAAAUCUCCCGGCUUAACCGGGAGGGGCCAGCGGAUACUGGCAGGCUUGAGGCAAGCAGAGGAAGGUGGAAUUCCCGGUGUAGUGGUGAAAUGCGUAGAUAUCGGGAGGAACACCAGUGGCGAAGGCGGCCUUCUGGGCCAAUACGUGACGC
rnacentral:rRNA from 1 species